UACGUAGGGAGCAAGCGUUGUUCGGAUUUACUGGGCGUAAAGGGCGCGUAGGCGGCGCGACAAGUCACUUGUGAAAUCUCCGGGCUUAACUCGGAACGGUCAAGUGAAACUGUCAUGCUAGAGUGCAGAAGGGGCAAUCGGAAUUCUUGGUGUAGCGGUGAAAUGCGUAGAUAUCUGGAGGAACACCGGUGGCGAAGGCGGCAUCCUGGACCGGUAUUGACGCUGAGGCGCGAAAGCUAGGGGAGCAAACGGG
rnacentral:rRNA from 1 species